rnacentral:rRNA from 1 species
CCCUUAGAUGUUCUGGGCCGCACGCGCGCUACACUGAUACGUUCAACGAGUUUGUUUUACCUUGGCCGAAAGGUCUGGGUAAUCUUGUGAAAUCGUAUCGUGUUGGGGCUUGACGAUUGUAAUUAUUUGUCACAAACGAGGAAUUCCUAGUAAGCGCAAGUCAUCAACUUGCAUUGAUUACGUCCCUGCCCUUUGUACACACCGCCCGUCGCUCCUACCGAUUGAAUGUUCCGGUGAACACUCGGGAAUCGUGAUCUUGAAUGGGGCAACUCAUUCUUGAUCAAUUGGUGAACUUGUGUAAACCUUAACAUUUAGAGGAAGGAGAAGUCGUAACA